rnacentral:rRNA from 1 species
GUGCCAGCAGCAGCGGUAAUACAGGGGAUACAAGCGUUAUCCGGAAUUACUGGGCGUAAAGCGUAUGCAGGUGGUUUUAAUAUAUUUUUAUAUAAAAAAAACUAUAUAUUUGUUUUUAGUAAAAAAGUUAUUAAACUAGAGUUUGUUAGGGGUAAAAGGAGUUUUUUGAGGAGUAGUGAAAUGCGAAGAUACAAAAAAGAAGACCAAAAGCGAGCAUUUUACUGGAGCAAUACUGACACUGAGAUACGAAAGUUAAGGUCGCAAAUGGGAUUAGAUACCCCAGUAGUCUUGACUGUAAACUAUGGAUACUCGGAAUAAAAUAUGUAUUAUAUCUUAUUCCUUAGCUAACGCGUUAAGUAUCACGCCUGAGUAGUACGCUCGCAAGAUUGAAACUCUUGACGGGGGCUCGCACAGGCGGUGGAGCAUGUGGUUUAGUUCGAUGUAAAACGAAGAACCUUGCCAGAGUUUGAAAUAUUUGUUUUUAAAAAAUUAAUAAUUUUUUAUAAUUACAAAUACAGGAGGUGCAUGGCUGUCGUCAGCUCGUGUCGUGAGAUUUUGGGUUAAGUCACGUAACGAGCGUAGCCAUUAUUUAAAGUUACCUAGCUUUAAAAACAGCCUAUAUUUAUUAUAUAAAUAAGGAGGAAGGAAUGGAAAACGUCAGGUCUUUAUGCCCUUUAUACUCUGGGCUAUACACGUGCUACAAUGGAUGGUACAAUAAAAUUUGAUAUUAGAGAAAACAGUUUUUUCUUUAAUUCUAUUUGGAAAAAUAGAUAUAAAUAUAUUUUAAAAACAUUCUUAGUUCGAAACAUAAAUUGCAAUUUAUUUAUUUGAAGCUGGAAUCGCUAGUAACCGCCGGGCAGUCUUACGGCGGUGAAUAAGUCAUCGAGCCUUCUACACACCGCCCGUCACACCAUGGGAAUUAAUUAUUGUUGAAACUCCUUUUUAAGAACAUAAAUAAGAAUUAAUAACUGGGGUGAAGUCGUAACAAGGUAACCGUA